AUGACCGAGAAAGAUGAUAAGCUUUGUGAAAGAUUUUCUUAAAAAAUGUACCUUAAUACUUAAUAAUAAAAAUGAUACAAAAAGUUAAAAUAGAAAGAAUAAAAAUUUAAUAUGAACGAAACGUAAUUGACUAAACAAGAUUCACUACAUGAAUUCUUGAUUGCUAAGUAAAAAAAUCUAAAAAUAGUGUGUAUUCAUGGAUUAAAAUGAGAAUGAGAAAUGUAGUU
rnacentral:lncRNA from 1 species